CCUAAGAUUAGAACCACAAGCGGAUGAACCAGACCCAAGAGUAGCAGUUUUGAAAGGGCUGGAGAAAUAUAGGCUCCCAAUAAUUGCCAUUCUCAAAAAAAGAAAAGCAGUUCCUCUGUAUAUGGAAACCUUACUUGAACUCUAUGACCACGAUGAAAGUCAAUGCGAGUAAUGUCUAGUUCAAUUUGUUCAUUUCAGUAGCUGGUAGCAAUUUAAUAUAUGUAUCUUUUCAUCAUUAGCAAUGCAUCUUUCACUUUUAUAAGCCUAGUAUUCAUGAAACUAUGCUGCAUGCAAAAACCAAACAUUGUAUUAUUAUGACCUAUCUAACUGUAAUGCUUGCACCAAUUUCUAUAAAGGUACUAAUUUAAUUGUUAAAUUCCUGCUCUUCUAUCAAAUUUUUGGCUGAGUGCUAUGGCUAAAUAAUUGUUUGCUGCAUAAGUGAUGUUAAGGAUUUUAAUAGGUGUAAAGCAUCUCUCUCUCUCUCUCUCUCUCUCUCUCUCUCUCUCUCUCUCUCUCUCUCUCUCUCUCUCUCUCUCUCUCUCUCUCUCUCUCUCUCUCGUAAAGAAAGACAUUAUUUCUAGUGUAAAUAAACCCAAUAGGCUGUCCAAUUUGAAAUUUAAAAUGUAAAUAUCAUCAAUCUUUUUAGAAAUGUUAGCUGCAUCCUCUUCCCUUGCGGUCCAAUAAGACAGGUCACUAAUUUGUGUGGAGAUAGAAUUCUUGGAGUCACCUUUGCCGGCAGUAGCGCAAGUGCAAACAGUCUGAUAAAGGUUUCUUCCAUGGUUGUGAUGAAAUUCAGGACUUCUCACACUGUUUUGGUGGAUAUGAUGAGAAGAAUCGGGAGUUCAGAACAUCAGUGCGUUAUGUCGGGGCAUGUAGGUUCGGCUGGGGUUUUCUUUCUUUCUUUCUUUUUUUUUUCCGAUCAGUACUCAUCAUAUUCUUACGAGGACUUGCUAGACAAAGCAUUAUUGCAUUAUGAUAUUACCCAAAUAGUGUCUCAAGUAAAAAACAUAACCGCAUACUCGUACAAAAGAUUUGCUGCUGUGACACAAACGACAAAAAUCAUUAGUAUACUGGUCGUUCUGAGCAUUCAAUCAAAAUGCUUGUCAUUCAUAUAAUUAGUAGAACCAUCGAGGAGCUUUAUUUUUGUUAAUUCUUAUGUGAUAAAGCAAUAAUUACAGGAGAAUUUUAAAAGAUUGGUACUCAAAUUAGUGGACUGUCCUAUUGGAUGUGACCAUAUCUUCACUUUUUCCUUACACAGUUAAUUUUCUUUUGUUUAUUUGAUUUACUUAUUAUCAUAUUUAUUUAUAUAUUUAUUUAUUUGCACCAAAUGCUUGCUUAGUUAUAUUGGGGUUACUUCACCUGCUUGGAGAAAGGAAAGACUCCAUUUUUACUAAGGUACCAGAAGAAGAACUAAGAACAGGGCAGUCUAGUGUGUAUUUGAUGGUGCACCUGUAGCUGAACCAACAUGUAUUUCUAUGGCUGUAGUCUCAUUGGUAGCAGGGCUUUGUGUUUAAUAUUGAACACCCAAAAAAUUGUGAACAUUUCCUCCAUUUCACAACAUCCCAUCUCUUAGGUAUCAAGUAUGACAAAGGUAACACUUCAAAAACAAGAUCUCUACUUGUAAAACUCAAUGAAGUAAAGACAGAAUUGAGCUACAAAAAUGCAUAAAUCUACUUCCAAA